UGCUGAGGAGUCCCACAAUAGGACGAAAUGGCCGUCCA
rfam:Schistosoma curassoni strain Dakar, Senegal genome assembly, scaffold: SCTD_scaffold0006530